ensembl:lncRNA
GUAUGUCAGAGCUCUAGACACUAGAGCAAUUGACUUGUUGAUGAACUUACUAGCAUAGUUAUUAACAGAAUAGUAAUAAGCUUACUAUCACAAUGAUUAAGAUAGUUAUUAACAUAGUAAAUAAUUUAAUUAACAAUGAUACUUUUUAACAUUUAUUGGUGCAGUUACGAACUUUUUUAUAUAUUCUGUGAGGAGGUGCGCUCUGGUAUUCAUGGUGUCUUCUUGCUUUGUCCCCCCAGACAUUCUCAGUUCUUUUCUGCUUUAUUCUCCCUUGUAGUCUUUCCCUCCACAUGGUGAAUCCUUAUUGUCUAUCGCCCAAAAGGUUACUCUUCUUUCUACAACACAGUGCAUGUCAUGAAAGUUGAAAAUGUGCAGUCAGUACUGGAUCCACUGUACACGUGGCACAAUUGCCUUCACCCCAGGAACUAAGGCAGGAAGCUCAGUUUGUUCUGGGGCAGAUUCAUAUUCACUCUUGAUCUCUUUUGCUAGAAGUCUGUGCAGAGCAACAUACAAAAGAAUAAAAUACAAUCAAGUGGAAUAGUACUGUCGAACAUAAUUAAACAAUAUAACAAGCAUAUUUUUGUAACUGUUAAUAUUGAGAAAGCAAUUCUUCUGAAAUCUAGGCAUCUUUCUGAAGAAAAAAGUCAAGUUCAAUGUGGUUAUUGCCUUACCUACUUAACAUUUUUAGCCAUGCCGUGCAUUAGCUGGACUUUGAAACUACUAAUGGGAUUUGCAUUGGCUUCAAAGUAUAUUACAGCAGCUCAUAAAGCUCCAUGUGAGAGGGACAAGGUGCCUGCUGUUUCAGUGCUUGCUGUUUCUGUUCUGUGAUGGACCGCAUAUAAAAUGUGGUAGAGGGGUAUGGCAUCUUCAAGCAGACUGAGACACAUCUCUUUCCUCUUGCCACUCUCAGACUCAGCAGUAAGAAACUUUUAUCUGCAUAAUGAGCGGAUACUAAGGCAGGGAAUUCUGAGAGCACUUUUACCAUUGGUUCAAAUGCAGCUGAUAAAUUACAAGCACAAAUUACAGAUUUCUGCAGGACUAAAUCUACCCUUUGAAAAUCAGACAUCUGCUUCCAAAGGGGCAUACCACUACAUGCAGUUAUUUCAGUUUAUAACUGCUUCUAGCCCAUCGUGUUCAGGCUCAGGUCUAACAGAGCAACAGUGUUUGGCACAUUCACCAUUCACACUACAUGGUGUCGUGUGUGGGCUGACUAAUGCAACUGCAGAGGACAGUAAGUGGUUCAGAGAUAAGCACGUGUGCACACAUUCAGAUAGCAGCAGCACCUGAUCCCAAGGUUACAUGUCCUCCCUUUUUUGUGCACCUUUAUUGUAGUCUUGUCAAUAGACCAACGUGUAUCAGGAGUGCUUUUGAAAAUUACAUAUAUUUUUAUAAAUGCAUAUAAACUUAUACAUGCAUAUAUCUAUACCUGGAGAAAGAGAUGUGAUGGCGAAUAUGUAAGUACAGAAACAUGGCCUCCUAAGAUAUGACCCUUAAUAUGCCACUAAAUGUUGGCUAAAUUAAUUAAUUAAAUUAAUGAUACAUAAACUUUUUUUUUUUUGAGUUAUGGAGUUUUGUUCUUAUGCAUGAUCAGAAGAAAAAAAACACAUAACAAACUCUAAAGCUGGCCUCACAGCAGUGCCAUCACCAAUACUUUUGCAUCUCUUACAUGUUUAGAGAUGAGGGGUCCUGUCAAGCCUGGCUGGUAUGUGGAUAAUCCCAAAGGAGGGAUGUGUAUUUUCCACCCUUCCCGGUCCUCACUUUUGCAGAGGAUGCUACCUGAGCAUACCUGAGGACUGUAACUGAGUCCCACCGUCACUGAGAAGGGCAGGGAAGAAACAUGUAUCAGCAGGGCCUGGCUUCGGCAACUGUAGAAACUUGCCAUGCAUUCUGUGCAUCAUUUUUAUAGCCCUGAUCAUGACAUAUGAUAGAAGCCAGAAAAUAGUCUCUUAUCAUCAUACUGCAGACAAGAGUCUCUCUUAUAGUAUGUGCCCUGGGCAUAGUCCUGCCAAUUUCACUGGCACAGAUAUGGAAAGCUGUAUUUGCUCUUUUCUGUAACCUAUUUACAGGGAUUUCUUAUGAAUCCCCAGAAUUUCCCCUGGAGUGGGACAACCCCAUGCUGUUCUCAGUUAGUGUUGUACUAUUUUCCUGAAGAAAAAAAAUACAGUUGUAUUAAGCCUGAAAGAUUUCUGUCACAAAAUAUUUGCCAAAUGCAGCCCAGGAUUUUAUUUUGGGACUUUUUGGGCAGCUUCCUUCUGAGCUGGGGUCCUUGGGAAUCCAAGGUCACCAGCUUGGGAUGAGCUAGGUCCUCCCACCUCUCAGCUUGACAAGGGAAGGAGAAAGCUCAGACUUGGCUAUAAUAAAACCCCAAAGACUACAAACCUUGAAGUCACAGGCAGCUGUUCAGAAAAAAAAUGACCUUUUUUGCAUCAGCAAAAUGGAGAAAAAUGGCAAUUUUAUUGAGAGGAUGCAUGUUCUGGGUAGAAUAAUUAAUCUGGGAAGUAUUAUAUGUCUUAGGUUAUGAAAGAAAAUGUUAUUGGAAUAUCUGUUUCAUAGGAAUUUGUGAAACAUUUUAUAUUUUGGUUCAAUUUUGAUUAAAGUAAAAUCUGAAGAAGAUUGUUUUUUCACACAUCAGAAGGCUACCAGUUCUCCUUCUACUACAGGCUAGGUCUAAUUAAGCAAGUUCUUGGCUUAGUAGGCAAGGAGAUAUCCAAAUAAAACAAAUAGCUAUGCUACUGGUCUCGCUUACAUCAUGGGAGAAGUUGACAGCUUCACUAGUGUUAUUGUAACUAGGAUUUGAAAGCAGUAUAAUAAAUAAAUGUCAUUGUUUUGUCAAAGAGAUGUAAGACUUCUAUAUUAGCUGUAUAUUUGCCCUCUGGACUGCUGGAAAACAGAGGGAAGAAAGAUGGCAAAAAUAGAAGCACUUGAAAAAUAAGAUGAAAGUGUAGGUAAAUAACCAAAAUAGUUUUUAGUUAUAGCUAAGUAUUUAAAUUUCCAUUUACCCUAUCCAGUCUUGAAAUACUAAGGUAAACUUUGCAGUAGUACUUAUAAACACUUCACAAGAAUCUCACUAUUUCUCAGCCCCAUACAUCUCAGUGAGAUGCAGUGUCAUGUAAUGUCCUCUUCAUGUUACAAAUGUUCUUAUGGAUAACAAAGACAGGAGCCAGCAAAAAGGUUUACCUUGACAUGGGAAGUUCAGAAUACUGUGCUGCCACCUGAAAUGCUCAGCUAUUGCCACUGAGGAACAGGAGUGUGAAGCAUUUCAGAGCACUAGAAAGCUGUAGCCUUUCCAAGGUUUCUUUUCUGUACAGUUUUAAAUAACAAGAACCUUUACCUUCUUUCUCUAGAAAGAAAACAGGCUUAUCUAGCCAUGAGAAAGAAAACAAGUUGCCCAUCUUCCAGAGGGCUGGCAGACUAAAUGCAUUUGUGCACUCACGUGCAACAACCAGGGGCAAGCCAUUUGACUGCACAUAGUGGUCAAUAUUGCAAGCAGAGUGGAAACGAAGAGUUUGUAUUGAGUGAAGAUUUUUGUUCUAUGUAAGAUGUACUCCAUCUGCAGAUGCAUUUAGAUGUUUCCAUUUUCAUGGAAAUUGAACCCAAGAGGGAGGGGAAAACACGACACCUAAUGACCUAAUGCAAAGGUAAUUAAAAAAAAAGAUUGUUUAUAUGGGAAUGUGGGACCUAAUGUCUUUCUCUGUAUGCCGCAUUUUACUCAAAUGCCAGUUUUCAUUUUUUACUUUGUGGAAUGUAGAUGAGCAGGUCAGUUGCAUAAUAUGUGUGCUUUCCCCCUUUUCUCCAUUGCUUUCUCCAUUACCUUUGGCUUGGAUAAAUUCCUUUGAAAAUGAGCUUAACGGAGCACAGGGUCAAGUGAGUUUCCUGGUGGUACUCAGUAGUCCGACCAGUCAACUGGCUACAGCAGUUGACCCAUAGUAGUAAACUAACUCCCACUUAGAACUAGUGUCUUUUAAUGGUUACAGAAAUCCAUCAGUUUCCAAAGAAAAAAUGUGACAGAAUGACAGCUCUCAGGCUGGGCAGGACAGUUACUAAGUUAUGUAAGAAACAGCCUUCUGUGCAUUGUCAAAUUUUGCCUGCAAUAUGUUUGGCCAAAGAUCAACCAUAAACUGAGACUGUGAACUCUUCAGACUUUGUCUGACCUGCCUGUGGUUGUCUCUAUUAUGUAGCUGCCUAAUCUGGGCCAGAAUUACAUUUUCUUGCAUUCUAGAUUUUAUCAUCCUUUUAUGUUGUACAUCCAGUAUCUCUGUGAGAAAAAGACUGGGAUUUCUUCAAGAAGUGAACCGAGCAAAGCAGGAGAAAGCAAGAAGUAUACAGAAUCAAAGCACCCUGAAAAGUUUAUGAAAUAGAGAUGACAUUGGAAGUACAGAUUGAAGGAUGGGCUAGGAGGAAGCAGACAAUCCAAAUGUGCAAAGAGAAAAAGAAAGGAUAAACUGAACGCUGAAGGUUAUUGCAGGGAUGACUGGUGAUGGUGUAGAGUGAUCAGAUUUUUUUCUCUUUUCCAGCCAGAAGUCAUUGUACUCGUUUUGGAAAAGUUAUAUUCAUAUGAUUGAGAAGAUUAAUUAACAUCUGUCCUGUGGUUUUAAGGAAGAAACUGACAGUCCAAAAAAAUGAAAGUGAAGUUGCGAUCUCAAGUAACUGGGAAUUCAAAUUCAGCAUCGCACAGUGGCAUAGCUGCUCUGUAGACAAUAAAGUAUUUGAAAGUCAUCUUUUCCUUGGCAUUUUGAAUAACAAGUUCAGUGAGAUAAAGCACAAUGAAGAUCUUUUGAAGAAGCAUCUGGAAUUCAUCUGUGUAAAGAAGCAACUAUUUCUUCUGUGGCUAGCUGGAGAUUUCAAAGUUUGAAGAUCUAAACAUCUCAAGGUCAGCCUGAAUUUGCUUGAGCAGAAAGCAUGCAUGGCUUGUUUGUGUGGUAUUUCUGUUCCACUAUUUUCAUGACUCUUAGUGUGGUGCAAUGGGAAAAGCUUUGGUUGAGUCUCAGAAACCAAGCCUAUAAAUCAGUAAGUCAAUCAACAAGUCUGGGGAACAAUAUGUUCUUCUAUUUUAAUUUCUUUGUGGGAAAUGUGUAAAUAGAUACUGGCAAUGAAGCUGGAAUAUAAUGGGUACUUAUAAAUUAAGGCAUCCAAUGAUUUAUCCUCUCUACGUGCAAUGUGAAAAGAGGUUAUGCUUUCUGAUCUGUUAAAACCCUAUUUUUAAAAUGAUAAAAUUUUAGUUUUUAAGGAUGAGAAUUACUGUCUGCUGACCAGUUUCCAAAAAUGUGGGAAGUUAGCAUACUGAGAAGAAAUUUAGGGACUCUUAGCAGAACAUUUCCACAUGCCAAUGCUUGCACAUUAUCAGAGACCUACUCAUGGCACUUAACACACCACACAACAUCAGGGCAGCCCAUCCUGGGCAGGGGUGGCACUUGUCACUACAGACUCAAUCUGUCCCUGUACAUCCCCCAGUGUUAGACUCUGUGUCUUUACCUAGGUGUUUCCCACUGUAGAAUCGGAUGAUGCCAGGCUUUCCUGUUUAACAGCAGUCUCUGGAGAUUGAUUAGUUAAUAUUUGCACAGAGCUGAUAAAGGUAGCCAUAAGCCAUACGGUGUGAAGCAUUUGCCAAAAGAAGGGGAAAAGGUUUGAAUUACUUUGUCCCUAUCCCUUUGCUGACGAGGUUUCACAAGCAUUUGAACGAUUGAGGAGUCUGUACAACUGAUCUCAAGCAGCUAAUUUAAGCCCCACUUACUGAAAUCCUUUCAAACAAAGCAAACAAAAUGUAUUAUAUGAUGAGAUUUCAUUAUGGAAAGCAACAGAAGUCAUUAAUAAAGUUACAUCAUUCGUUCCAGGAAAAUAGUGCAGACGUUGUGAUUUAGGAAGACCAAUCCUGUAUCAAAGAGUCUACUAAGUAUUUACUACAAACAGCUGACAAAUGGCAAUUCAUAGCUCAAAAAUGUCUACAAAAUUGCUUGCCAACAUAUUUUAAAUAAUUCUUUUACUUUUUUGCUGUUGUAAAAUAAGGCUACAUUACUGGAUGACUUGUAAAUGGGAGGAAAAAAAAACAUUUGGGAAACCAAUUGUUUGCAAACAGUAGUCUAUCCUGGCCUAAGGACUUGACUUUUAAGGUGUAUUUGGGCAGGCAGACCAUAAAUGGAAUUUUCAAAUGCUUCUAAAUAUCUAAAUGAGGUUCCUAUGAAUUUUUAAAAUCACAUUUCUGCCUAUCCAAAUCUUGGCAUGCUUAAAUGCCUUUAAAAGCUGACCCCACGUUUUUGCAACAUGAAAGGCAUUAUCUGAAGGCCCAUUUCCACCGCAAGAGGCAACUGCUAUUACUGUACCACAGCAAUGUCCCUCAGAUGAGGUCAACCAGAGAAAGUCAACACAACUAAGGAGUACAGAAACAGAGAGGGAGUUGUGCUAAUUCAGGCUAUCUCCUACCUUAUCACUAGAAGACCAUUAGGUUGAGUGUUUUCCCAUCUUCAACCCAUUCUUUUGAACUGUAAGCCAGCUUAAACUUAAACACGGCCUCAGUUGUGCAGGAGAAAGGAUCUGGAGAAGGAUGACAAGGAGUGAGGAAGUUUCAAUUGACACGUAUUAACAGCUACAUGUCGAGGCAUGAUUUAGUACUUGAAUUUCAAUUUAAGACAUGGAGCCCAUCCAUCUACUUCUGUAAAGAUAUAUGGUAUUUCUAAAAAUAUAAUUCCUGAUGAAGCUAGCUGGAGAGUAUGUCCUAAGUUCAGUCACAGAUGUAAAGACUUAAUACUGGUUUUUGAACAUGAGAGACGCCUUUUCCUUUUCAAAAAUAUGGUGACCAGAUGUGUCAAUAAUCACUCUAAACCCAGUUAUGGAAGUGCGUAAUUCAAUCCUCAUUUGAGUUCCAGCAGGUUUAUCUAAAAACCAAGUUAUGAAUCAAUAAAUAUACCAGCGGAUUACAAGCUGUUUAUUUGUACCUGUAAAAUAAGUUACAGCUAUAAUAAUUGGAGAUGGAUCUAAGAGCUGGGCUAGAACCACUGGUGAAAGAAAUGUUCUCUAGAAAACAAGACAGUGUUCAUCUUCCCCUGGGAACACAGUGAUUAAUUGAAAUUCACAAUAAAGAGAUGUGAAAAAAGCUAACAACAUAUAAACAAAAACCACCAUAAACACCACACUCAAGAGAAAUCUAGCUAGCUCCAAACCCUGCUGCUGAUAAUUCAAAAAGUGUAGCCAUUAAUUUAAAACAAGUAUCUUUGAUGAGUUUUCUGAAUUUUUCUUGUCAGUUUUCCAAAUGUUGUUCUUGAAAAUACCUACUAUUUAAAACACUGUUAGGUUAGGAACAAUCUUUAUAUAUGCAUUUAUAUUUUUAUACGAGGAGCUUUAGAAUUAAAAAACACACAGCAUCACAUUGGGGGAGUUCAUGUGGGGAGGGUAGUAUUCAUAUCAUCUAAACAGGCUGUUUUCCUGCCCAAGAUGGUCCAUUCUGUUUAUUGCAAUGACUUAAAAACUUAGAAUAAAGUCCCAGCAAAAAAAA